rnacentral:rRNA from 1 species
CCUACGGGGGGCAGCAGUGAGGAAUAUUGGUCAAUGGCCGAAAGUCUGAACCAGCCAAGUAGCGUGCAGGAUGACGGCCCUACGGGUUGUAAACUGCUUUUGUCCGGGAGUAAAGCGCGUUACGUGUAGCGCUUUGAGAGUACCGUACGAAUAAGGAUCGGCUAACUCCGUGCCAGCAGCCGCGGUAAUACGGAGGAUUCGAGCGUUAUCCGGAUUUAUUGGGUUUAAAGGGUUCGUAGGCGGGACGAUAAGUUAGCGGUGAAAUCCCGAGGCUCAACCUGGGCAUUGCCGGUGAUACGGGGGGGCUAGAGAGCGCGUGAAGUAGGCGGAAUGCGUGGUGUAGCGGUGAAAUGCUUAGAUAUGACGCAGAACACCGAUUGCGAAGGCAGCUUACCGAGGCACAACUGACGCUGAUGCACGAAAGCGUGGGUAGCGAACAGGAUUAGAUACCCGAGUAGUC